GCGAGAGUGGCGGAAUUGGCAGACGCGCUGGAUUUAGGAUCCAGUGAGCAUAGCUCGUAGGGGUUCAAGUCCCCUCUUUCGCACCA
rnacentral:tRNA from 1 species